CCCUUAGAUGUUCUGGGCCGCACGCGUGCUACACUGAGUGGAUCAGCGGGUCAGGUUGCGCGAAAGUGUUUCCUAAUCUUGAAAUCCGCUCGUGAUGGGGAUUGACGGUUGCAAUUUUCCGUCAUGAACGAGGAAUACCUUGUAAGCGCGGGUCAUCAUCCCGCGCUGAAUACGUCCCUGCCCUUUGUACACACCGCCCGUCGCUCCUACCGAUUGAGUGGUCCGGUGAGGCUUUGGGAUCUGAGCAAAAAGAGCGCUUCGCUCGUUUGGCUCGGAAAACUCAGUCGAACCUUAUCAUUUAGAGGAAGGAGAAGUCGUAACA
rnacentral:rRNA from 1 species